CAUACAGGUAAGAUUAUGAUCUAGACAAGUCUGCACUGGAAAGAAGCUAAGUGUCCAGCUCCUCAUCUUCCACUUGGCAGUGCCACUGGCUUAAAGUACUGGUUACCUGUGGAAACAGAGGAAUCUCAUCAGCUACUUAUUUUCCUCCCAUUUGUAUGGUGACUGCCCAUUUCCUCCACAGAGCCUUCCUUAACUGACUGCUUCCACCAGUGACACAAAGAUAUAUCUGCAGUCGCAUCUUAGUUUUCCAGUGAAAUUACAUUAGUGUCCACAUCCUAUGGGUACAGUUUCAAGUGAGCAGAGGUGAACCCUUAUAAGGAAUAGGAAGAGAUGGCUGACUCUCUUGGGUCGUGGUGAAAGCACUCUACAGCAGGAUGACCAGAGCAGUUAUUUCCUAUUAUUUGUGAUGGUUAUAACUAUCUUCUCUGUUCCUCAUGUAAUGUCCUUUGACUUCUGGAGAUGAGAUUUCCUGUGAAAAGAAAAACAAAAGACUUCCCUUUCCUUUGUGAGGUGUUCAUCUAGUUUAUGAGAUAUACAUUUGAAGAAUACCUGUCAUUUC